rnacentral:lncRNA from 1 species
UGUCCUAGAAACAACCACAUGCUGGAGAAUGGAAUUCCAUAAGGUACUCUCUUAGAUAAAGGAAGUGCCAUCCAUCCUGUUACCAUCUGCUAAAAUCCUCAGCCCACCUGCAUAGUGAACAGCAUUCAUUGUUUUCCAGAAAUGUGCAAGAACCACAGUCUCCCCCAAGACUGAAGAUCUGCUUCAUUGACAUGGCAGGGAACGUGGCUGCACACAGAGGACUCAUUUUUGCAGCUUCCCUACCAGAGAGAGAGACACCCUUUUUACCCGAGUUCUGAGUUGAAAUAUCCUAGAAGAGAACUCUGAUUGGCCUGGCUUGGGUCACAUGCCUGUCGUUGAGUUGAUCAACUGUGAUUAGUUAUAAGUGUACUCAUUAGUAACUUCCCCUGGAACCUUAGAUUUGAUGUGGGGUAAGACUUCCAAAAACAAACAAAAAAAUAAAACAGAAGAAUGCUA